AACGCGAAGAACCUUACCAGGGCUUGACAUCCCUCUGACCGGGUGGUAACGCACCCUUCCCUUCGGGGCAGAGGAGACAGGUGGUGCAUGGUUGUCGUCAGCUCGUGUCGUGAGAUGUUGGGUUAAGUCCCGCAACGAGCGCAACCCUUGUCAUUAGUUGCCAGCAGUUCGGCUGGGCACUCUAGUGAGACUGCCGGGGAUAACUCGGAGGAAGGUGGGGAUGACGUCAAAUCAUCAUGCCCCUUAUGUUCUGGGCUACACACGUGCUACAAUGGCUGGUACAAAGAGAAGCAAGACCGCGAGGUGGAGCAAAUCUCAAAAACCAGUCCCAGUUCGGAUUGUAGGCUGCAACUCGCCUACAUGAAGUCGGAGUUGCUAGUAAUCGCGAAUCAGAAUGUCGCGGUGAAUGCGUUCCCGGGUCUUGUACACACCG
rnacentral:rRNA from 1 species